rnacentral:lncRNA from 1 species
AUGACUAAGGCAAGAUGUGCAUAUUGCUGCUCACCUGAACACCACAUUAGCAAGUGCCCUGAGUUCAUUAGCAAGACAAAGGAUGAGAAAAUAAACUGGAUAAAGAGAAACAAACGGUGUUGGCGUUGUGCUAGAACUCAUCAGGCUGCAAAGUGCGAUCUGAGAAAAGACUGUGCUACCUGCAUGAGAAGACAUCUACAGAUCCUAUGUGAGGUGAAUCGGAGACUUAGAACUGAAGUUAAUCCUGUAGUGAGGAGACUGUACUUUGAUAAACCUAGUGACUGUCCUAGUGUACUAUUAAAAGUUGUGAAAGUGCUCCUGCGUAAUGGCAAAAGAACCCUGGAAACAUAUGCCGUACUUGACGAUGGCUCCCAACGCACCAUGCUUCUGACAUCAGCAGCUCAGCAUCUCCACCUAACUGGGAAAGUUGAAAAAUUAUCACUCAAAACUGUCCAUCAAGAAGUUGAAACCAUUCAAGGUUCUUCUGUAAGUUUCCAGAUUUCUCCCAUCGCACAUCCAGAGAAAACUUACACAAUUAAUGCCUUCGCUACAAAUCACUUAGCACUUUCAGACCACACCUACCCCGUAUCCUCUCUUCAACGGAAAUACAAGCAUCUUCAAGGUAUCCCAUUAACCUUUAUUAACAAAGCAGCUCCACUACUGCUCAUAGGCUCUGAUCAUACCCACCUUAUUACGCCUAUUGCACCAGUUAGACAUGGACCAUUUGGAUCUCCUGCAGCAGUCAAAACCCGCUUAGGAUGGACACUCCAAGGUCCAAUCACAGACUUCCAACCCCAGAGCAGUUCCACGCAUGCCCAAUGUUUGUUCACAUCUUCCAGUUCAGGUGAACCGCUCCAGCACAUCCUCGUGUCCACUGAUGGCUCUGAAUUCAUUCAGCCACCUCCUACUCUACCAUCAGCAGUACCUACGUCGUCACCGGCAGUGCCGCUAUCACCAGUUCCACCGCCUGUGGCUGCCAUUCCACCAGUGGUCAGGGCACCGCCUGCUCCUGCAUCACCUGGUCCUGCCCCUGCCAAGUCCCGUAAAUUGCCCCCAGCACCUGCAAAACUGCCCGACGGUCUGCAGGUCUGGGCCUGCAGGUCUGGGCCUGCAGCUGCAUCCCACGCGGUUGGCAUUUGGACCUGCUUUGCCGCCACCGCUGGCUACAUGGUCGGCCCCCUGAACUGUCUGGCCUGCGCUGUCAACCUCUAG